CUACGGGUCGCACCAGCAGGGAAUAUUGCACAAUGGACGGAAGUCUGAUGCAGCGACGCCGCGUGGAUGAUGAAGGCCCUCGGGUUGUAAAAUCCUUUUCAGGGGGACGAGGAAGGACGGUACCCUUGGAAUAAGCGUCGGCUAACUACGUGCCAGCAGCCGCGGUGAAGACGUAGGACGCAAGCGUUAUCCGGAUUUACUGGGCGUAAAGCGUCUGUAGGCGGAAUGGUAAGUUGGACGUGAAAGCUCCGGGCUCAACCCGGAGAGGUCGUUCAAUACUGCCAAACUAGAGGGCAUCAGAGGAGCGUGGAAUUUCCGGUGUAGCGGUAAAAUGCGCAGAUAUCGGAAGGAACACCAAUGGCGAAGGCAGCGCUCUGGGAUGAACCUGACGCUAAGAGACGAAAGCUAGGGGAGCGAACAGGAUUAGAUACCCCUGUAGUC
rnacentral:rRNA from 1 species